UACCUGAUUUAGCGGCGGACGGGUGAGUAAUGCGUAGGAAGCUGCCCGAUAGAGGGGGAUACCAGUUGGAAACGACUGUUAAUACCGCAUAAUGUCUACGGACCAAAGUAUGGGACCUUCGGGCCAUAUGCUAUCGGAUGCGCCUACGUGGGAUUAGCUAGUUGGUGUGGUAAUGGCGCACCAAGGCGACGAUCCCUAGCUGGUUUGAGAGGAUGAUCAGCCACACUGGGACUGAGACACGGCCCAGACUCCUACGGGAGGCAGCAGUGGGGAAUAUUGGACAAUGGGCGCAAGCCUGAUCCAGCCAUGCCGCGUGUGUGAAGAAGGCCUUCGGGUUGUAAAGCACUUUCAGUGGGGAGGAAGGGGUUGUAGUUAAUAGCUGCAAUUUUUGACGUUACCCACAGAAGAAGCACCGGCUAACUCCGUGCCAGCAGCCGCGGUAAUGCGGAGGGUGCAAGCGUUAAUCGGAAUUACUGGGCGUAAAGCGCACGCAGGCGGCUUGUUAAGUCGGAUGUGAAAGCCCCGGGCUCAACCUGGGAAUUGCAUUCGAUACUGGCAAGCUAGAGUAUGCGAGAGGGGGGUAGAAUUCCAAGUGUAGCGGUGAAAUGCGUAGAGAUCUGAAGGAACACCAGUGGAAC
rnacentral:rRNA from 1 species